CGCUCGUAGUCGGAUUUCGGGGCGGGCCUGCCGGUCUGCCGAUCGGUACGCACUGGCGGGCGCGUCCUUCCUUCCGGAGACCGCGCCUCCUCUUAACUGAGCGGGCGUGGGAGACGGAUCGUUUACUUUGAAAAAAUCAGAGUGUUUCAAGCAGGCAGCUCGCUCUUGCAUGGAUUAGCAUGGGAUAAUGAAAUAGGACUCUGGUGCUAUUUUGUUGGUUUCGAACACCGGAGUAAUGGUCAACAGGGACAGUCAGGGGCACUCGUAUUCCGCCGAGAGAGGUGAAAUUCUCAGACCAGCGGAAGACGAACCACUGCGAAAGCAUUUGCCAGGGAUGUUUUCACUGAUCAAGAACGAAAGUUAGGGGAUCGAAGACGAUCAGAUACCGUCGUAGUCUUAACCAUAAACCAUGCCGACUAGGGAUUGGAGGCUGUUCCUUUAGUGACUCCUUCAGCACCUUUCGGGAAACUAAAGUCUUUGGGUUCCGGGGGGAGUAUGGUCGCAAGGCUGAAACUUAAAGGAAUUGACGGAAGGGCACCACCAGGAGUGGAGCCUGCGGCUUAAUUUGACUCAACACGGGGAAACUUACCAGGUCCAGACAUUGUGAGGAUUGACAGAUUGAGAGCUCUUUCUUGAUUCGAUGGGUGGUGGUGCAUGGCCGUUCUUAGUUGGUGGAGUGAUUUGUCUGGUUAAUUCCGUUAACGAACGAGACCGCAGCCUGCUAAA
rnacentral:rRNA from 4 species